CCCCGUGCCCAUAGCGGCGUGGUUCCACCCGUUCCCAUUCCGAACACGGUCGUGAAACGCGCCUGCGCCGAUGGUACUUGGACCGGAGGGUCCUGGGAGAGUAGGGCGGUGCGGGGG
rfam:Marinithermus hydrothermalis DSM 14884, complete genome.